AAGGAGCUCUCUUCUGUCCAGUCCAAGGCAGUUGAAGCCUGAAACUUAGCUGCUGAGUCGUUGGUUCAAGAGCUCAUCAUAUGGUAAGCAGUGAAUGAGAUGUGUUUUUGAUCCAACGAAGCAGGAGCUAUGUUCUGUCAUGGCUGUCGUGUCUUGGACUGAAGGGAGCUCCCU
rnacentral:pre_miRNA from 1 species